UAUCCAAAAUACCCAAUAUCUUCAUGUCCAAAAUAUCUUCCCUACUAUGCAACUAAGUCUCCAAGUGUCCAAGAUACCUUCCCUACUAUGCCAUCGUGACAAGCAUAUCCAACACCUACUAAGUACAACAAUAAGAUAAUAUACAAUAGCCAAGCACUGUAAUGCAAUAUAACAAUCAUAAUAAGGUAACAUUACCUAGAGGAACAAUGUAACAUCGCCUCUCUUUGUCUUGUCAGUAAAGUAUGAGAGCAUCAUGUACUGACCCUUCUCAACCGGCUAGGACAUAGGUGAAUUUUAGAUCACAAUAUGUGUAACACAAGAAAAUUUAGGUUAUUGCAGUGCUUUCUACCACCGAAGGAUGUAGAAACUACUACCGGUACUCUAGCAGCACAUCAUGUGCAUCAUCAGUCACAUCCACAUGUACACAAUCCUAUGUUAAUAUGAAAAAACGUGGCUAAUCUAGCUUCUAAUAUUUGGAACAUAACUAAGACCAUUUUUUAAGUGGUUACCUUCAAAUAUGAUUGCCAUUUUGCACUUUUUUAUAUUCAAAGGUGUAUCAUCAAUGUGUGACGUGAUCAUUUACGCCUAAGAUCACCAAUUGCAUGCAGCACUUGCUUGAAAUAUCGACGGUUGCCUCUACAAUCCUUCUGGAGGUGUUGCAAAUCACUCUAAACCUUUGGUUAUGACCAGUAACAUGAAGGAACAUUGUGACUUGGGCCAUAUGAUGAGGGAGACCUUGUGGAGGUGCUCUGCCACCAAGGUGGAGGUGAUGGGGUAGUGAGGAUUGGACUUGCACCAAAAGUGUUGUGGUAACUCUAAAAUCCCCGACAGUGUACAUCUUUGACCUGCCGAGCCUCUCUUGCCACACACCUUGCGCGCAGCAGGACUAGCUAUACAUAAACAACUUUUGGAAUUGGCAUUGGUAUUGGAUUGUGUAUAUGUCUAUGGUUGGGACUUGAGUAUGUUAAAGGUUAGAUGCUUGAGUCAAACAUGUGUAACGCGGGCUAAUAAAUUAAUGCAUCGUGGCGGUAGUCAAAAUAGACAAAAUAAAUCUAGGCUAGAUGGAUAAUCACAAAUGGAACGUUGCGGGCGCCCGUGGCAUGGUGAAUGGACCGGCCCUGGCGUGAUAGUCAAAAUGUGUCUAAUGAUCUUGGCGUCGCUUUGUAGUCGAUUCUAUUAUAUCAAUUGAUCACUGACUCUAAUUAACCAAUAUCAUCUCCAUGUCUGCUUUUUGUAAAGGUCCAGUCAUGUAAAUUGUAACAACAUCCGAUUCAGGUUUCCUUGGCUGGCCUAGGUGAGGGAUUCUUUGAGUACCUUGUGAACCUAACCAAGGGGGCCACACAGGCACCUAACAUAUAAAACAAUAUAUCUGAGGCCCAAGUUUAACAUCGUACGACCUUCCAGUUAAGCACCAAAUGAUUCAUGCAGCACGACAUUGUGAAUACUCCUCCUCCCAUUUCCGUCUCUCAUGUUGGCAGCCGUUGCACUACGGUUCGAAGAUGUUAAGGAUCGAAUAAUUGUCUUGUGCAAUGACCAGUGCCGAUAGUGAUAAACCGCUUAAAACAUGUAGGAAAGAGGAGAUUACAACAAGUCAUCCUUGAUGUUGGUAUUUCUGUUGGAACUUUAUUAGUCCUAGUGGUUGUGCUCGCUUGUGUUUUCCGGCAGAGGAGAAGGAUCAAGGCCAACAAGGAAAACCAAGAUAAUGCAGGGGAUGGCAUGAACUAUAUUAGUCUGGAAGCGUUAAGAGCUGCAACAUCCAAUUUUUCUAUAAACAAUAAACUGGGAGAAGGAGGAUUCGGAGAGGUGUUUAAGGGCGAAUUGCAGGAUGGAACCAAAAUAGCCGUCAAAAGGCUCUUAAAGGACUCUGCUCAAGGGCUCGAUGAGUUGAAAAAUGAGCUAAUGUUAGCUAACAGACUUAAGCACAAGAAUCUGGUGCAGCUUCUCGGCGUUUGCUUGCGAGAGAAAUUGAUGGUGUACGAAUACAUGCCUAAUGGAAGCCUACACACGAGCCUUUUCAGUAAUCCUCCCUGUCCCAACUCAUCUUGUUAAAACUUUAGUACAGCUAGCUAUACACCCCUAGUCCGCAUAUUCUGCUGUUUUUAGUUCGAGUGGUGCAUGUAUGUCACAGGUUCAGAGA